UACAGAGGGUGCGAGCGUUUAAUCGGAAUUACUGGGCGUAAAGCGCACGUAGUCGGCUUUGCAAGUCGGUUGUGAAAUCCCCGGGCUCAACCUGGGAACUGCAUCCGAGACUGCAUUGCUAGAGUAUGGGAGAGGAAAGCGGAAUUUCUGGUGUAGCAGUGAAAUGCGUAGAUAUCAGAAGGAACAUCAGUGGCGAAGGCGGCUUUCUGGACCAAAUACAUGACGAGUCAGGUGCGAAAGCGUGGGGAGCAAACAGG
rnacentral:rRNA from 1 species